AGGGAUUCUUCACCCAUGGUUGCUUAGGUUUAUAAGCAAGGAAGCUGAAUGAAGUCCCUUUCCUCUCUGGCUAACAUCUUCUAGUCAAACAACUCUCCUUUUCAAAGGGACCAGGCACAGUUUCUGCUUAUCCCUGAGUAGCAGUGUUCAGUUUCCUGCCAGCCUGUGGAGUUUUUCAAACAAGCCAAUCACCUCCUCCUGUGGGAACUGAGAAGCACCCCACCCUCUCGAUACUACAAAGCCCCUGCUUGUUCCCUAGUGCAACUCCCAUGUGGUCCUGUGGAGCAUAUGGUAUCUUCCUCUUCUGGGCAGUG
rnacentral:lncRNA from 1 species